UAGGGAAUCUUCCGCAAUGGACGCAAGUCUGACGGAGCAACGCCGCGUGAGUGAAGAAGGAUUUCGGUUCGUAAAACUCUGUUGUUAGAGAAGAACAGCGCAUAGAGUAACUGUUAUGCGUGUGACGGUAUCUAACCAGAAAGCCACGGCUAACUACGUGCCAGCAGCCGCGGUAAUACGUAGGUGGCAAGCGUUGUCCGGAUUUAUUGGGCGUAAAGCGAGCGCAGGCGGUCAAUUAAGUCUGAUGUGAAAGCCCCCGGCUCAACCGGGGAGGGUCAUUGGAAACUGGUUGACUUGAGUGCAGAAGAGGAGAGUGGAAUUCCAUGUGGAGCGGUGAAAUGCGUAGAUAGAUGGAGGAACACCAGUGGCGAAGGCGACUCUCUGGUCUGUAACUGACGCUGAGGAUCGAAAGCGUGGGUAGCAAACAGG
rnacentral:rRNA from 1 species